AGAGAGGCGCUUAGGAGGCUAGCUCUGCUCUGACACAGGGCAGGGGCAGCAACAGGGCUCGAGGAGCAGAUGCUGCUAUUCAUGACUCCACCUCUCCCUCUUCCGAGGGCUUGACCUCUCUGCCCUACCUAGCAAGUUCCUGGCUAGCCCUGCUCUGAGGCCUUCUUCUCUCACUCAGUUCUGUCUCUGACACCUGUCCUCUCCUCUCUGUCCUCCACCACUGCCCUAGUUUAGAACCUCAUGACUGCUUCUUCCUCAAGCACACGCAUGCUUGCUUAAAAUCCUUAACCGCCUUUCCACUGCAGAGAAGACACUCCAAAUCCCUCUCCCAACACACACAGCCCUUUGCUUGGGCUUGUAGCCAUCUCUGCAGAUUCACUUCUCGCAAAUUCCUAUAUUCCAGCCACACCAGGGAACUUUCCCUUCUCCUAAAACCUUGGCACUUUUCUGCCCUUGUGGAUUUGCUCACUCUGACCUUCCUUCCUGAAUUCUUUCCCUUUUACGCAACUACCAGGCCCUCUCACCCUUCAGAGCUCAUCUCAAAUACCACUUCUUCCGUGAAAGCCUUCCUGGGUGGACACUCGACUCCUCUGAGUUCCUGGAGAGCUUUUUCUCUGUUACACAUGACUGCCUCUGAUUUUUCAUCGGAGUCCUGUAAAUGGUCUCUAUCGCUCCUACUCAGGGUGAAUGAAUUAAAAUCCUUGAGAUCAGGAAUUAUACAUUCCCCACAGCUCCUAGAAUAGUGUCUGCACAGAAUAGGCACUGGACAGUAUCAACAUGCUCAAAUGGGGCUGUCUGAAACGUGCCCCCUCUGCUGGCCAACUGAUGGUACUGAAGACCACAUCAGGGUAGAGGCACAGGCAAAAAGCCAGGCUGCUCUGGGCCUGGCACUAUAGACCAAGCUCUGGGCGAAGAGGCAAAAUUGGUAGAGUUCACCAUUAUCGAGACAGCAUCUCUAACCAAGGAGCUGAACCCCUUGAGGACAAGGAUUGUGUUCAAUUCAACUCUGAAUCCUCAACGUCUAGAUGAAGAGUCUGGCAGAACAAACAUCCAGUAAAUAUUUAUGGAAUGAAAGAACACAUUAAUGAGUAAAUGCCAAAACUUAUCUAUGAUUAGUGAGCUUUUGAGGAACAACAGUAUAAAAAACUGAGUUACAAAAAUGGCUGCAUAUUUACCAUCCAUCAGCCAGGCAGGGCAUUAAGUGCUCUAAUGAUUCAUUUCUAACAUUCACAGGAGCCCUACAGGGAAGGGAAUGUUAUUCCCAUUUCACAGAUAAGGACACUGAAGUCUCAGCCAGGAUGCCAACCUCAGGAAUGCCAGCACCUCACAAUCUGGGUUACAUGAUAUUGCCCCUGGGCAACAAUGCUGGCUUGGGAGACCCUGGGCUAAGAUCGGAAGCAUCUAUUUCUUCCGAUCUCUGAAUAGGAACAGGUGUUGAUGUGGUGUUUUCACGAGACCUCAUGCCCAAGCUGACAGCCACUCCAGGCCCAUCACUCACUGUGGUCCUGCCUGCAAGGGUGCCUGUCUGAAGUGUGCGCUCCCUACCCGUUACCUUUCGGAGCUGAAGUUGGAGGCUGUGACAAUCACAUCAUCCUUGCUCUGCACCAGCACGGGGAUCUUCCGGCAGCCUGGUGACUUCAGCAGGCGCUGUAACAGCUUCAGGGUUUCUUAAAGGGUGAAAUGGAACAGAAUUAGGGGGACACAACCUUCUCUUUGGCCAGGCUUCCAGAGCAAGAUGGGUCCACCCAUUACUGAUGCAAGCAGGAGACAGACACAGAUAGAUGGACCAGUAUUAAAUGCCACAAUGCCUGGAGAAGCAAAAACGAGGAUCAAAACUUUGGGUGCUGCUAGAGUAAGAAAAGCAUAGAUGGGGCCUCUUUUCUAGGGUUCUGCGUCUGAAACCUGGCAGAUUUCUCUUAUGUCUGGACGACCUGCCUCCUGUAAGCAUGUGACUUGAGGGUCCCCAAGAAAAACAAUUCAGUUCACACUUCAGUUCUCAGAAUGCACUAUUUCCUGGAAAAAAAAAUCUCAUCCAACAAAAAGGAUCUCUUAGACAUUUAGAAGUCUACAGAGACCUUAUUAUGAGGCCUCCCAAAAGGAUACUUUUCUACAAUCUUUAGCAGUGAGGGAAAAAGGCACAAAGGCCUAGUCCUGCAACCCUGUGUCAAAGCUUUGGUGGUAAAAGGUAAUCAGACCCUCUGUCCAAACUUCCCCAUAUAUAUCCAGCUUAGCUGGUAGAGCCCAACUCCUUCUGCCUGAGGUCACCUGAAAAGAGAUGCCAGAUUCAGGAGCUCAAAAUUUCUGCAUUUGAAACCAGAAGGAACAAGGAAGAGGAUAAUUCUAGGCUGUGCUCAGACCAAGAACUAUAGGGGAGGAAGUAGCAGAAGAUUCUGGGCUGAUGGAAAUUCAGGCCAAGAUCUAAGUACAAGACAAAGCAAGUUUCGCCUGCAUGCACUGAAGAUGGCAGCUGCUGUGGGAAGGCUGCUCCAACAUGUGAGUGCCAUUCCUUGGGGCAUUUCUGCCACUGCAGCCCUGCUGCUUCUGGGAAGAAUGAGCUUGACAAACAUAUUAUGGUCCGGUUCUGGUCAAGCAAAAUUCUUUAGCACCAGCUCCUCAUAACAUGAACCUGCUGUCGCCCAGCAUGCACCCUAUUUAAGGGUACAGCCAUUGUCAAUAGAGAGUUCAAAGACCUAAGCCUUGAUGACUUUAAGGGGAAAUAUUUGGUGCUCUUCUUCUAUCCUUUGGAUUUCACCUUUAUGUUUCCUACAGAAAUUGUUGCUUUUAGUGACAAAGCUAAGGAAUUUCACGAUGUGAACUGUGAAGUUGUUGUGGUCUCAGUGGAUUCCCACAUUAGUUGCCUGGAUAAAUACACCAAGAAAGAAUGGUGGUUUGGGCCACAUGCACAUCCCACUCUUGUCAGAUCUAAGCAAACUUCCUGAGACUACGGUGUGCUGUUAGAAGGUCCUGGUCUUGCACUAAGAGGUCUCUUCAUAACUGACCCCAAUGGAGUCAUCAAGCACUUGAGCAUCAAUGAUCUCCCAGUGGGCCGAAGCGUGGAAGAGACCCUCUGCUUGGUGAAGGCGUUCCAGUAUGUAGAAACCCAUGGAGAAGUCUGCCCAGCAAACUGGACACCGGAUUCUCCUGCAAUCAAGCCAAAUCCAGCUGCUUCCAAAGAGUACUUUCAGAAGGUAAAUCGGUAGAUCACCCAUAUGUAUCUGCACCUUCUCACCCCAGAGAAGAACCACAGUUGAAACCUUUUAUCAUUUUAUAGAUGACUAUCUGUAGAAGGCAAGGAACCAAUUGUGUUUGUAUUUAUAAAUAUUACUCUAAAUGUUUUAUUUUUGUAAUACUGGGUAGGGCCUUUUAAGCAUGGUUAGUUGCUAGUACAAGGAAUCCUUUAUUGGUAACGUCUUGGUGGCUAGCUAGCUAGUUUCUACAGAACAUAAUUCACCUCUGUAGAAGGCAAUUCUUAGAUCAUGUCUUCAAUGGAAACACUCUUCUGUCUUAGCCUUACUUGAAUCUUGCCUACAACAAAGUAGAGCAACACACAUUGAAAGCUUCUGAUCAAGGGUCCUAAAGUUUUCAUCUUGAAUGUGUUUGUAUUAAACUGAAUUUUCUUUUAAGCUAACAAAGAUCACAGCUUUCAGUUGUUAUCAGCAGUCAAAUGUAACUCCUGAAAUGAACGUUUAUGUGAUUGGAGCAAAUGUGAAUCGUAUUAUUUUAAAAAGUGGCAGAGUGACUUAACUGAUCAUACAUGAUCCCUCAUGCCUGAAAUUUGUAGUUUAUGUAGUCAUUUUAUUUAUUUUAUUCAUUAGUUAACUUUGUCUACAUAUAUUUCUAGAUAUUGAUUAGUGUCAUGAUUAUAAAGAAUAUUUAUUGGAUCCAGGGAUUGCAUUUUGAAAUUAUUAUAAUUAUUUUCUUUGCUGAAGUGUUCAAUGUAGAGCACAUAAAAAAAUAAACAU